rnacentral:hammerhead_ribozyme from 1 species
UCCUAGCUGACGGGUCCCAAAUGAGAUGAAACGCGCGUCCUAGAU